rnacentral:sRNA from 1 species
AUCAGGCGAGGAUGCCGGGAAGGACAAGAACUCAGGACGAGAGUCAGGAGCGCCAGGAGGCGAAGACCAAGGAAUUGCCAGGAGGCAAACGUCCGGAGACGUUGUAAAAAGGAUCGGGAAGAAAACACGGAGUGUUAGCGCCAAGGGAAAAACAGGGUGUGUUGGUGGCGAACAAGGAUUGUGUGACCCGUUAAGGGUUGUGAGUCAAGAAAAAGGCGACAGAUUACUCUGUCGCCUUUUUUCUUUGUCUGCUU